UCUUCUCUGGAACUCUUGACUGCCAUUGUGAUGUCAUGCGUGACCCUUUUGCCUUCUUCCAGAUGUCUAACAUCAACACAAAAUAUUGGCAAUUGUGACCAUUUCGGGCUCCAAAAACAUUAUUACUUGCUUUGUUUCUAGCCAGACUUUAGCUUCUAGAGAAGGAGCUGGGAUAACGUCCAACGUUAAUACAAUAUGGGAGCCCUCGGUGGGACUUCCUGCCUCAUCUGGAUGCUCAGAGUGACCUCACCUUGCUUCCCCUCUCUUCAUCCUUCAUCAACUGCAGAGUGUCUAUAAUAGGAAAAGAUGUCACACUCACAAUGUGUUUAGCAUUGCUUCAAGGUAGCAAAUAAAACUGAAAGCAUACAUCUGAUUUUUCUUAAAUGUUAUUUAAUCAUAAUAACUAUGCUUUCCACAUUCUCUGAGUUUUACUUAAUGUACAGGUAUAUUUAUGUGCUUGAAGAAUAAAACACAUCAGCUCUAUUUUUAAAGA